GCCAGACUCCUACGGGAGGCAGCAGUGGGGAAUAUUGCACAAUGGGGGAAGCCCUGAUGCAGCGACGCCGCGUGAGCGAAGAAGUACCUCGGUAUGUAAAGCUCUAUCAGCAGGGAAGAAAGUGACAGUACCUGACUAAGAAGCCCCGGCUAACUACGUGCCAGCAGCCGCGGUAAUACGUAGGGGGCAAGCGUUAUCCGGAUUUACUGGGUGUAAAGGGAGCGUAGACGGCGAAGAAAGUCUGGAGUGAAAGCCCGCGGCUUAACCGCGGAACUGCUUUGGAAACUUUUUGGCUGGAGUACCGGAGAGGUAAGCGGAAUUCCUAGUGUAGCGGUGAAAUGCGUAGAUAUUAGGAGGAACACCAGUGGCGAAGGCGGCUUACUGGACGGUAACUGACGUUGAGGCUCGAAAGCGUGGGGAGCAAACAGGAUUAGAUACCCCCGUAUA
rnacentral:rRNA from 1 species